CGCCUCUUGUCCAACACAAAUAAGAGGUCCUGCCUGCCCCGUGACCAUGUGUUUAACGGCCGCGGUAUUUUAACCGUGCAAAGGUAGCGAAAUCACUUGUUCUUUAAAUAAGGACCGGUAUGAACGGCAACACGAGGGCUAGACUGUCUCUUUUUUUCAGUCAAUGAAAUUGAUCCCCCCGUGCAGAAGCGGGGAUUACUACAUAAGACGAGAAGACCCUGUGGAGCUUUAGACAAUAAGGACAGCCCUUGUCAAACCCCCUCAAACAAGAAACUGAACUGAUAGGACCCUUCUUCAAUGUCUUCGGUUGGGGCGACCGCGGGGACAAAAACAACCCCCAUGUGGACCGAGAAUAUGUUUUUUUUUCUUACACCAGAGAGUCACCACUCAAACUCACAGAACCUUUGACCUAAAGAUCCGGCAACGCCGAUCAACGAACCAAGUUACCCCAGGGAUAACAGCGCAAUCCUCUUUCAGAGGCCCUAUCGACAAGAGGGUUUACGACCUCGAUGUUGGAUCAGGACAUCCUAAUGGUGCAGCCGCUAUUAAGGGUUCGUUUGUUCAACGAUUAAAGUCCU
rnacentral:rRNA from 1 species